AGCGAACGCUGGCGGCAGGCCUAACACAUGCAAGUCGAACGAAGUCUUCGGACUUAGUGGCGGACGGGUGAGUAACACGUGGGAACGUACCUUUUGGUUCGGAACAACUCAGGGAAACUUGAGCUAAUACCGGAUGAGCCCUUAGGGGGAAAGAUUUAUCGCCGAAAGAGCGGCCCGCGUUAGAUUAGCUAGUUGGUGAGGUAAAGGCUCACCAAGGCUACGAACUAUAGCUGGUCUGAGAGGAUGAUGAGCCACACUGGGAAUGAGACACGGCCCAGACUCCUACGGGAGGCAGCAGUGGGGAAUAUUGCGCAAUGGGCGAAAGCCUGACGCAGCCAUGCCGCGUGAAUGAUGAAGGUCUUAGGAUUGUAAAAUUCUUUUACCAGGGACGAUAAUGACGGUACCUGGAGAAAAAGCCCCGGCUAACUUCGUGCCAGCAGCCGCCGUAACAC
rnacentral:rRNA from 1 species